CAAGAAUCGAGGCUGACGGUGCCUACUCCCUAGGCUCCGUCCAGUCCCGCUCUCUACCUUGCCUACUGCACCGUUUGUUGCUUCCUGGCGGCGUCCCGUCGCCAGGGCCUUUUGAAAACCAAGUAUAAGCAUUGAAACUUCUGACAUACACUAAAUCGUA
rnacentral:misc_RNA from 1 species